rnacentral:lncRNA from 1 species
UUUACGUGGUUCACCCUCAACUGUUUAGGGCUACGUCCACAGGAGAAACUCCGAAUAAUUCUUCCACUAUUAAAACAAUAGUAGGUACAUAAAGAGAGUAAUAAAAAAAUAGUGGCACACAAAGUGUUUCCCAAAACACCCCAAAAUAAUCCUCACUAUUUUUCUCUUCCAGUUUCAGGAAACCCAUCCUAAAACUAUAACACUCUCGCUUGC